ACAAAAGACUUAGUCCUAACCUUACCAUUAGCUCCUGCCAAACACAUACAUGCAAGUAUCCGCAUCCCAGUGAAAAUGCCCCCAACUUCUUACCAAGAUAAACGGAGCUGGUAUCAGGCACACUCGUCGUAGCCUAAGACACCUUGCUCUGCCACACCCCCACGGGCGCCCAGCAGUAGUAAACAUUAAGUAAUAAGUGAAAACUUGACUUAGUUAUGGCAGUACAUAGGGCCGGUAAAUCUUGUGCCAGCCACCGCGGUUAUACAAGAGGCCCAAGCUAAUUGUCCAAGCGGUGUAAAGUGUGGGACAUAAUCUAUGUAUCUUAUCAACUAAGGCCAAAACAUGUCUAAGCUGUUAUAAGCUCUAAGACUCACCUAAGUCCGCUCAUCAAAAUAGCCCUAGCGCCUAUGAUCAACCAACCCCCACGAAAGCUGAGGCUCAAACUGGGAUUAGAUACCCCACUAUGCUCAGCCUUAAAUUUAGAUGUCUACUCUACCAAGCCAUCCACCGGAGGAUUACGAGCACAAACGCUUAAAACUCUAAGGACUUGGCGGUGUCUUACCCACCUAGAGGAGCCUGUUCUGUAAUCGAUAACCCACGAUAGACCCCACCGCUCCUUGCCACAGCAGCCUACAUACCGCCGUCGCCAGCUCACCUCCUCUGAAAGAACCCAAAAGUGAGCACAAUAGCCCCUCCCUACGCUAAUAAGACAGGUCAAGGUAUAGCCAAUGGACCGGAAGUAAUGGGCUACAUUUUCUAGACUAGAAUAAACCCACGAAAAGAGGUAUGAAACCUACCCCUAGAAGGAGGAUUUAGCAGUAAGACGGGAUUAGAUUGCCCGUCUUAAGACGGCCCUGAGACACGUACAUACCGCCCGUCACCCUCCUCACAAGCCCACAAAACUUAUAAGUAAAACCCAACUAAGAGGCUAAAGAUGAGGUAAGUCGUAACAAGGUAAGUGUACCGGAAGGUGUACUUAGCACAU
rnacentral:ncRNA from 1 species